UUCCUAAUUUUAGUUUCAAUUUAUUUAAUUAUUUUUUUCCCAAAUAAACACACACCACACACGUAUUUUUCUCCAUCAAGGUAAUUAACAUCAAAACCUAUUAUCUUCUUCUUGUUUCCACUGCCACCACUAUCAUCAUCUUCUCUUAGGGUUCCUUUUUCCUUUUCACACAUUCCAAUCUCUCUAGAUCGACCCAUGAAUCAUUUUGACGUUUUUCCCUAUCUCUAGAUAUAAAGUUUGCAUCUUUAAUCUAAUUUGCUUAAUGGGUCGUUUUCAAAUUUAAUCUAUAUUGCUUCAGAUUGUAUGCAACUGUGUAUUUAAUUGUUUUUUUUUUUUUUUUUUUUUUUUUUAUGUAAAAAAUGGGUUUUUGAAUCUGUGAUUACUUUGGUUUUAUUUGUUUUGUUUAAAUUAUUGAUAAUUGAAAAAAAUGGUGAAAUGGGUGUUCAUGUUGUGUAUGAUUUUCUUCUUUGCAAUCUGUGAAUGAUUUUAUUAUUUGUAAUGAUUUGUUGAAAUCGUUUGGUUUCUAUGACUAAUGGAAUGCAAAUUUGUGUCGAUUAGUGCAUGUCUAGAUUCACAUUAUCUUCUUCCUUUUCUUCAUCUUUCUUGUUUUCCAUUUCACUUUAACUUUUCUUCAAUUUUUGCUCUGAAUCAGUAACUUGAAGAAAAGAUACCGCACAAGAAUUUCCUCAUCAAGGGUGAGUUUAUAUCUUCCUUGAAUCGUUCAGCUAUCUUUAAAAUUGUGAAAACCCCAAUCUCUAUUUUUGAAACCCUAACUUUUCUUCAUUCUUUAAAAUAUGAAUAAUCACAUUGAGAUGAUAGAAUGUAUUGUUGAGUUGAUUUAAAUUUUGAUCUUGCUCAAUUAUGUCUCAACAAGUAAAAAGGACCAACUUUUAAUUUGAAUAUUAACUUUCUCUUCCUUUAGAAUUUAAGAAUAACUUGGUUUGAGUUUGAUUAAUUUUGGUAUUAGCUUAUGAUUCUUGUUGUGCUAUUAGCUUGUUAAGAAAAUAAAAUGAAAAUGUCAUGAUUCUCUUUAGUUGUGUCUAGAAAGGAUUGAGUUAGUUUAAGUUACUUUGGUGUUUCUUGGGAUUGUUUAGUUAUAAGUGAAGAAUUUGAUUUGUAUAGGCUUGAAAUAAAUUUAGAAAUUUGAAAACUUUGAUGCUUUUAUUGGGAUAAAUUCUUAGAAGUAGGAUGGAAAGACAGUAGAGUAUUAUGGCAUGGUUGAGAGUAUUUGGGGAAAUAUAAGUUAGAGGUGAAUCAUAAUAUUUAUUCAAAUUGUAUAUGGAGCUAUCGAGUAAUUGUUUAUUCAAAUUGGUAAUUGCGUAAUUAUUCUAAGGUUUAUUAUACUAUAUUAUGGUGGAUCAUGAUAUUUAGCUUGUGAUGUUGGUGCUCUUGAAAGUUAGAUUUAGAUUAGUUGGAAACUUUGGAGUAUAUAGAGUUAGAAGAGAACAUAAGUUAUAGUGGGAUUUUGUUGAAACUUGAGACCAUGAUGAACCCUAAUAUCCCUUGAAUAGCACAGCGUCACCAUCUCUUCGAAGAUGAGUUUCCUUUUUUCAAUUCAACGGUUAUAUGAGAAUUGGAAUUUAUUUAAUGAUUUAUCUUUGUUUCAGGUUACAUCUAUUUUGUUGAAAGAAAAUGAGCCGUAUCGUGAAUACUCCUGCUCGCGUCAUGUUGAUUUUGGUGGUAAGGUAAAUUUAUUUUGUGAGCUUAAUAUGUAAAAGGAACUUAUAUAUAUAUAUAUAUAUAUAUAUAUAUAUAUAUAUAUA
rnacentral:lncRNA from 1 species